GACGGAAGCCGAGACUGCGCUUCGUGCGAGGCCCGGGCAGCAUCGGCGGCGUGGUCAGAGCGAGUCUCGGAGAAGAUGUGGUGGCUUCCGUUUGUUGGUGGAGGAGGUGGCAGGCCUCGGCGCUUGGAAGCUGUCACUCCUGUCCUCACAACGACAACAAAAAACACCUUGAACAAACUGAAAAUUACAACUUUUCUUAGAUCCAUCAGAGACUUGAGGUUAACA
ensembl:lncRNA novel transcript